rnacentral:rRNA from 1 species
UACACUCCUGCGGGAGGCAGCAGUGGGGAAUAUUGGACAAUGGGCGCAAGCCUGAUCCAGCCAUGCCGCGUGAGUGAUGAAGGCCCUAGGGUUGUAAAGCUCUUUCACCGGUGAAGAUAAUGACGGUAACCGGAGAAGAAGCCCCGGCUAACUUCGUGCCAGCAGCCGCGGUAAUACGAAGGGGGCUAGCGUUGUUCGGAUUUACUGGGCGUAAAGCGCACGUAGGCGGACUAUUAAGUCAGGGGUGAAAUCCCGGGGCUCAACCCCGGAACUGCCUUUGAUACUGGUAGUCUUGAGUUCGAGAGAGGUGAGUGGAAUUCCGAGUGUAGAGGUGAAAUUCGUAGAUAUUCGGAGGAACACCAGUGGCGAAGGCGGCUCACUGGCUCGAUACUGACGCUGAGGUGCGAAAGCGUGGGGAGCAAACAGGAUUAGAAACCCGGGUAGUCCCA